UACAGAGGGUGCAAGCGUUGUUCGGAAUUAUUGGGCGUAAAGGGCGCGUAGGCGGUGCGGUAAGUCUGCAGUGAAAUCUCUGGGCUCAACUCAGAGUCUGCUGUAGAAACUGCCGUGCUUGAGUGUGGGAGAGGUGAGUGGAAUUCCCCGGUGUAGCGGUGAAAAUGCGUAGAUAUCGGGAGGAACACCUGUGGCGAAAGCGGCUCACUGGACCACAACUGACGCUGAGGCGCGAAAGCCAGGGGGAGCAAACGGG
rnacentral:rRNA from 1 species